UACGUAGGGUGCAAGCGUUUGUCCGGAAUUAUUGGGCGUAAAGAGCUCGUAGGCGGUUUGUCGCGUCGAAUGUGAAAACCCGGGGCUCAACCCCGGGCCUGCAUUCGAUACGGGCAGACUAGAGUUCGGUAGGGGAGUCUGGAAUUCCUGGUGUAGCGGUGAAAUGCGCAGAUAUCAGGAGGAACACCAAUUGCGAAGGCAGCUCACUACACGAAUAUUGACACUGAGGCACGAAAGCGUGGGGAUCAAACAGG
rnacentral:rRNA from 1 species